rnacentral:lncRNA from 1 species
GAGCCCUGAGCCACCUCAGGACCCGCAGGGAGGUUUCAGAAAAUUGUGGGCCCGCAUCCACACUGACAGGAGCCCCUCAGCAGCCUCAAGACCCCCGGGGAGGCUUCAGGAAGAUAUGGGCCCGCAUCUACACUGACAGGAGCCCCUGAGCCACCUCAGGACCUGCGGGGAGGCUUCAGGAAGAUGUGGUGCGACAUUCACUCUGGCAGGAGCUCCCAGGCCCCUCAGGACAUAAGUUGAGGCUUCUGGAAGCUGGGGGCUGCAUUCAUGGUUACAGGAGCCCCGGCCUCCUCAGAACCCUUGGUGACACUUCAGGAGGACUUGGGGCCACAUGGACACAACAGGACGGUGACUUCCUCAGGACCCCCGUUGUAGACUUGGGGAAAUAUGGGGAUGCGUCCAUGGGGACAGAAGACCCCAGCCUUGUCAGGGCCUGUGGUGAGACCUAAGAAAAAUGUGGGUGCCGCAUCCACACUGACAGGAUUCUCCAGCCUUCUCAGAACCCACUGUGAAGGUUUGGGAAGAUUAUGGGCCACAUCCAUGCUGACAGGAGCCCCGAGCCUCCUCAGGUCUUAUGGUGAGGCUUGAGGAAAAUGUGGGGACAUGUCAACCCUGACAGGAACCCCGUCCUCCUCAAGACCAGCACUUUGGCUUCAGGACAUAUGGGGCUGCGUCUAUGCUGACAGGAGCCCACAGCCCCCUCAGGACCCGCGGUGAGUUUUCUAGGGGACGUGGGGCCAUGUCCAGACUGACAGGAGCCCCCGGCUUCCUGAGGACCUGCUGUGAGGCUUCCAGAGGAUGUGAGACAUAGUCCACAAUGACCUGAGACCCGGCGUCCUCAGGACCUGCUGACUAUGACUCAGGAACACGUUGGGCCAUGUCCACACUCACAGGAGCCCGGCUCGCUUGGACCCACUGGAGGACUCUGGAGGAGCCAUUGGGGUCACGUCUACAUCAGAAGGGACUCCUCAGAACCACAGGGGGCCUGGGAUGGAUGGACCUGUUCGAACCCUGAACUUAAAGAGGAAAGACCUUCAUUUUCUUGGCCUCCUUGCAUCACCUCCCAUCAUAUCUAGCUCUUUCCCCCUUCCCCGGAGCUCCUGAGAGAGCAAUUGCAAAAGACCUCAGCUUGGCAGGGUCUGUAGGGGGACAGGCCCAGGGAUUUGGGAUCAGGAAGACCUGAGGCACGGGCUUCUCAGCUGUGCAGCGGGAUUCCAUGCUGCAGACUCUUAUUCCCUAAGGCUAUCUUGACAACUGACUUUAUACAUAGAAAAGCUCUCCUUUAUCUUUAAAAGAUGAAGAGCCAGUCAAAGCCUUUUUUCUCUGCCCAUCUGAUUGCUCAGAUUCCAAUGUGAGACGUAUUUCCUGUUAAUAAGGAUAAUUUACUAUCCGUAGUACUAUGGUUAAAAUAUUCUGACACAAGUAAUUCAGAGGGAUGAGGGUUUCUCAUCUCUUUCUUCACAGCUCAGUCACUCCUCAGGAAAUGGAUCGUUAUGGAUUUGGAAAUAACUGAGAGACAUUAUUACCAACGGUCCUAUUAUUAUGUGAAGGAUCCUUCCCUGAGAUUCUUCCCCUGUUUCAACUGACACUGAAACACUUUGAACUCUUUGGAAGACAAAUGUCAAGGAAAUAAAUGUUAUGCACUGCUAAUUUUAAAUGCACUUGCAAUAUGGUGUCUAUUAUAAUAGAAGUAUUUUUAUCUGAUUUUUGCUAUUUAUUAAUCGUUCCUGCUUUUCAGGUUGAGGAGGCAUUAUACGUGUUCAUAAGUGUUUUUCUUUCUUUCUGAUAUAAAAUUCUUACUUUGUUUCCAUCAAAGGAACUCUUUAAGAAUAAGGCAACAGUUAAUUCAACUAUUCUUAAAAUGUCUUCACACUUGGAGCCUGAUUCAUUUAAGUCAAUUUUCAAAAUAAAUCUUAUUUCUUAGGAAAAAAACAAAGAUUUAUAGGGAAUUUGAGAAGAUAGUACAGAGCAUUUGCAUGCACUUGCACUCAGUUUCUCCAAUGAUUGAUAUCUAAUAUCAGUACGGUACAAAUAUUAGCUAAUAAAUGAAUAUUAAAAUAUUCGCAUUAACCAAAGAUGAAACUUUAUUCAGAUUUCCUUAGUUUUUGCUAAGUUACCACCCCUCAUAUGACAUUCCAUUUGUCCUCCUGUUUUCUUAGGCUCCUCUGGAUUGUGACAGUCUUUCAGCCUUUCCUUGUUGUUGCACUGGAACACUUUGAGAAGUAGAGUAUUUUGUAAAUUUCCCUCAGUUGAGACAUGUCUGUUGUUUAUCUCAUGAUUGAACUGUUUUUGUGGAUUCUAUACAGAGAUAUACUGCCAUUUUUAUUAUAUCAUAUAAAGGAUAGAUACUAUCAACAUGAUUUAUCCGUCUUGGUAUCGAUCUGAUCAUCUUGCUGAGGUAGUGUUUGUCAUCUUUCUCCGUAGUUAAGUGAUUCUUCUUCUUUCUUCUUCUUCUUCUUCUUCUUCUUCUUCUUCUUCUUCUUCUUCUUCUUCUUCCUAUUAUUAUUAUUAAUAUCACUAUAUUAUCAUUAUUAUUUUAAGUUUUUCAUAAUAUAUUUUGUAGAGGGAAGUUACUAUGUGUAUUCCACGCGUAAGAGUGGGAAGCUAUGCUCACCAACUUGACGGUGGAAAGUCUGCACAAAUUGUUUGAAAUUCUUCUACAUGGGAAAUUUCUCUUCCUUGUGUGUUGUUUUUUUUUCUUUUUCAAAGAUGUUAUUUAUUUAUUUAUUUGAGAGAGAGAGAGAGGAGAGAAAAACCAUGAGUGAGAGGGGCAGAUGGACAGGGAGAAGCAGGUUCCCUGCUGAACAGGGAGCCUACAUUGGGACCUGGAUCAUGAUCUGACUUAAGGCAGAAGCUUAACUGACUGAGCCACCCAGGUGCCCCUAUUUCUUUCUUUCUUCUUUGUUUCCUUCUUCCUUUGUUUGUUUGUUUCUUUCUUUCUUUCUUCUUUCUUUCUAUAAUAAAUUUACUUUUUAUUGGUGUUCAAUUUGCCCACAUACAGAAUAACACUCAGUGCUCAUCCCGUCAAGUGCCCCCCUCAGUGCCCGUCACACAUUCACACCCACCCCUGCCCUCCUCCCCUUCCAUCACCCCUAGUUCGUUUCUCAGAGUUAGGAGUCUUUAUGUUCUGUCUCCCUUUCUGAUAUUUCCCACACAUUUCUUCUCCCUUCCCCUAUAUUCCCUUUCACUAUUAUUUAUAUUCCCCAAGUGAAUGAGAACAUACAAUGUUUGUCCUUCUCCAAUUGACUUACUUCACUCAGCAUAAUACCUUCCAGUUACAUCCACGUUGAAGCAAAUGGUGAGUAUUUGUCGUUUCUAAUGGAUGACCAAGGCCCACCUUUUCUCUCCCUUCAUCUUCUGAGUCUCCUAUGACAUGAUUGUUAUUGUUUUAAUAAGUGGCUGAGUUCCCUAAAUCUGUCUCUGUGGUCCAUAACUUUCGUUGUUUUUAAGGCUUCCACUUGGGACUGCAUCUCAGUUAUAGCAUUUUUAACGUUGGCCUGACUGAAUUUUAGUUCUUUUAUUUCUACAGUAAGGGAUGCUCUAGUUUUCUGUUGUGCUCUUUUUCUAGCCCAGAUGCUAUCUUUAUAAUCAUUGUUUUAAACUCUAGUUAGACAUCAUAUAUUUGUAUUGAUGGACUUCCUGGCUGUGAGUACUACCUCAUGUUAUUUUAUGGAGUUGAAUUUCUACAUCUCAUUAUUUUUUCCAGAAAAGAAAGAAGGAAGAAAUAGAAAAAACAAGAAAAACAAUAACAACUUCCCUCCCCCCCCCAAAAAAAAACACCGGAUUAUUUUGGCCUCCUUGUUAAAAGAUUCUAAAUCCCAAAAUAACAAACACAAUUAAAGUACCAUGAGUGUAAAAAUAAGAAAUAUAUAUGGUACGUACAUAAAAAUUAUAAUAAGGCAAUUAAUAAAAUAGAAUCAAAGAAAUUAAAUGAAAAUAAAGCACAAAUUACAAAGGAAGCUAGACCCUACUUUCCAGGCAGUGCUGAAUCUCUACAGCCUCUGUGGUCCGACAACUUGUUGGCAGUGAGUGGUCUGUGCAGGGUCUGGGGAUGGCCCAUGGUGCUGAUUGUCAGGUGCACAUCUGCCUAGGUGAUGCACCUGCAGGGUCAGGGGCCGGGUGGGUUUCAGUGACUCUUGCCUCCAGCGGGUGGCACUGUGCUGCUCCCU